CACAGGAAAAACUGAGUACACAUAGCUGAAGCAAGUGUUUAAAAUGGGCUCAAAAUCUCUCUAAACUCUUGAAUGCCUCAGAAAUUGCAAGAACUCAUACAAGGAUAGAUGAAUAUAGCUGAAAUUUAGAUUAGAAGGGCUGAAUUAAGGAAGAAUAAUACCUUUGAAUUAAUCUAAAUUUACGGAAAAGAGGUGCAGGUACUUGGCUCGCAUGUCCUCUUCUGC
rnacentral:lncRNA from 1 species